rnacentral:rRNA from 1 species
UGGCGACCGGCGCACGGGUGAGUAACACGUAUCCAACCUGCCGAUAACUCGGGGAUAGCCUUUCGAAAGAAAGAUUAAUAUCCGAUAGCAUAUCAAGAUCGCAUGAUCUUGAUAUUAAAGAAUUUCGGUUAUCGAUGGGGAUGCGUUCCAUUAGUUAGUUGGCGGGGUAACGGCCCACCAAGACGACGAUGGAUAGGGGUUCUGAGAGGAAGGUCCCCCACAUUGGAACUGAGACACGGUCCAAACUCCUACGGAAGGCAGCAG